UGGGGAAUAUUGGACAAUGCGGGCCACCGUGAUCCAGCAAUGCCGCGUGAGUGAUGAAGGCCUUAGGGUUGUAACGCUCUUUUACCAGGGAUGAUAAUGACAGUACCUGGAGAAUAAGCUCCGGCUAACUCCGUGCCGGCAGCCGCGGUAAUACGGAGGGAGCUAGCGUUGUUCGGAAAUACUGGGCGUAAAGCGCGCGUAGGCGGCUAUCCAAGUCAGGGGUGAAAUCCCGGGGCUCAACCCCGGAACUGCCCUUGAAACAAGGUAGCUAGAAUACUGGAGAGGUGAGUGGAAUUCCGAGUGUAGAGGUGAAAUGCGUAGAUAUUCGGAAGAACACCAGUGGCGAAGGCGACUCACUGGACAGUUAUUGACGCUGAGGUGCGAAAGCGUGGGGAGCAAACAGGAUUAGAUACCCCGGUAGUCC
rnacentral:rRNA from 1 species